UUCACUUUUUCCAAUUCCGCGCGUAGUGUUAAGUUCGUAAUUUUUUUUCUUUUGCUGCUUUGCCGUGAAGAAAUAUCGGGAUAAAGAUAACAAAUUCGUGGAUUGUGGCUGCUUUAUUUUAUAUCGCAGCGACCGUUGAAAAUAACAUGUUCCGGUGCAAGUGUGAUUGGAAAUUUUCCCAGCUGCAGCAUGUUGAUAAAAUUCCGUUCGCCUGCAAGUCACUGAGUUGUCCAGUUUCGGAAGAUAUUAGAUUUUUCUCAGUUUUGUGCAAUGGAAAACGUUUGAAUUCUGUAGGGAAGAUUUUUAGUCAGCAGAACAAGGAGAUAUUCUUGGAAAUGACCGAUUAUAUACCUCUGUGUAUUCAAGGAAUUCCACUAGAGGUAGAAUUUGACUGCACAGAUUCGUGCAAUUCCAAUUCGGUGAAAUUUUUGUCGAGAAUUUCGUAAAUACUCGUCAACUUAUCUACUCGGAUGUCGUAUUUGACAGUGUCAUACGUGCGAUUAAAAUAUCUAUAAAUAGAAAUUUGUAGGAUAUAUUAUCGGUGCAGCUUCAGCGCAAAAUGGUGUUGUCAGGGCUACUUGUGUAAGGAUAAAUGCUGCACCGCAAGUGGAGCCACCCACAAGAUCCGGCAUACGAAAAAAAUAUGACUGUAGACUUAGUUACUGAUGAAUCGUAUGCCAUUUUAUGUACUAUAGAACCCGAUCCAAAAAUUUUAUUUAGUGCUCCUCCACUCGCUGCCAUUGCUGUGUUGAACGUGAUCAUGGCAUUCGGUAAUUUAUUUGUUUUCGUGACACUUAUUCAGGAUUUUUUUUGGUAGCAUUGUUUACACCUGAUCUCCAUGAUAGUCCACCCUGGACACUAAUCCAGACACAUUAACCUGCCCAGAAACCAGUGUCAUGCAAACUCGUUCGAGUCCAAAUGCUUUCCGAGUUUCAAGGUUUUGCGAUCGUCUAAAUAUUUCAAAUUAAUGGUAACGAUAAACUUUGUCGGAUAGAAAAACUUUCAGUAUAGUAAUAGUCUGUAUCACCUGGCAAUCUGACUUCCUUGAAUAGCACAAACCGUCGUCUUUUAUAUCCUUGCAUUAUGGAAAUUGCACAAAACUCGGAAGGAUACGACCAGCACCGAGCUAUAGGACGAUUGGUAGUGGUCGAAACAUUUAAGUGUUACUCCGGAGCUUGAGCUCCAAUUGAACCACUAAUAAUCUAAUGGCUGCAUAAUUAUUUCGUGGUUAGUUUGUGUGGAAAUGAACCACAACGGCAGCCGAUACACGUCGUUCGCCUUUGCUAGUGGAGGGAUCGCUGGCAGCGGCGGUGCCCGAGGGGAACUGAGCAGUAGAAAUUUGAGAAGAAAGCUGAGAAGUCCGAUGGCAGAGUCGACACAGCUGGACAGCAGCGGUAUCCGGGGGAAUCUUUACGGCAGUCCGGUACGACAGGUUGGAGUUGGGAAAAGAAGCCUACCUCUCCGUUGCAAAAUAGCAGGACAAAUUUUAGAAGCAGCUGAACGGCGUCUGUGGAUCGAUUGAUUGUUCCUAAGAUUUAUACGGAUGUUCAGAGCCGAGGAUUGGUUAAUCGGUUGGUAAAGUACCACGACAAAUCGCAAACGCCGUUAAAUAGGAGUCAAUCGAUGACUAGCCUGUACUCGAUGCCGGGUCAAUUUCAUGUGUGGUGGAGGAGAAACAAUUCUUCGAUAGCUCCCAUUGGUUCGGAUUGCCCCGUCAGAGAACUCCGUGUUUCAGGCUGACACAAGGUGGAACGGGAGGGAUCGUUGCUCAUUCCGGCGGAACCUCAUCUGAAGAUGGUCCGAACACAUAGACACGAGGAUGAGAUUGAUGCGGAAAAUAGUGUGAUUGCGCCUUCGACAGAACUGGAUGCCGAUUGGAUUAAGAAACAAUGUAAGGAACUAUCGGAGGUUGAUUCAGGCGCAGCUUGUACGAAGCAAGCUCGGGAAAUUACAUACACGGCUUCGCACCCGUGUCGAGGGUCGGCGAAUCAGCAGCUGCAGACGAAGAAAUUAUGUAGUAUAGCCUCGAGCCUGGUGAUGAACACUCCGAAAGUGGAACACGUAGCGCCCCGACCGGCACGAUUAAAUGUGGAUGUCUUUCUCGACGCCGGCAACAUUGAAUACGACGGUUCCAGUUAGCAUGAUUGAAUCGAGCAAACCGGCAAAAUUAAGUAGAAUUGAUUCCGCUCCUUUGUCACAGAUUACGAGAAUUGUUCCGAAGUUUCAACCGCCUCUGAUGGAAUAUCCGCCACUAAAGCUAACAUUGUUUAACAAAUAUAAUGUC